rnacentral:rRNA from 1 species
UGAGUGGCGAACGGGUGAGUAACACGUGAGUACCUGCCCUCUUCUUUGGGAUAACGCCCGGAAACGGGUGCUAAUACUGGAUAUUCACUGGCCUUCGCAUGGGGGUUGGUGGAAAGGUUUGUUCUGGUGGGGGAUGGGCUCGCGGCCUAUCAGCUUGUUGGUGGGGUGAUGGCCUACCAAGGCUUUGACGGGUAGCCGGCCUGAGAGGGUGACCGGUCACAUUGGGACUGAGAUACGGCCCAG